GACACGACUCUCGGCAAUGGAUAUCUCGGCUCUCGCAUCGAUGAAGAGCGCAGCGAAAUGCGAUACUUGGUGCGAAUUG
rnacentral:rRNA from 1 species